AUACUUACCUGGCGUAGAGAUUACCGUGAUCAUAAAGGCGGUCCCUCCGGAGCGAGGCUUGGCCAUUGCACUUUGGCUGAGUUGACCUUCGCGAUUAUUCCUAAUGUGCAUAACUCGUGUGUGUAGGUUUUGGUAGACGGAAAGGCGUUCGAGCCGUCCGGA